GCACCCGUAGCUUAACGGAUAGAGUAGGUGGCUUCGGACCAUCUGGUGGAGGUUCGAUUCCUCCCGGGUGCA
rnacentral:tRNA from 2 species